CCCCCGGGGCCGCCCUGCCCCCAGGCCCCUCACCCCCAGCGGGGAAUGGGGAGAGGGAGCUUCGCCAGUGUGGCUUUGUGCCCUCGUGAGAAAGGAGAGAGAGAGGAGAGUGGAAGCCUCGGAGCACACAGAGAACAUUGAGGUCAGGGAGGCUGACGUGGUCCUGGCUCAGGAGGCAGCACUGGGGGAAGGAGUACCUCUGCCAUGUCCCCAGUCCCCACCACAGGCAGCACCAGCGGCACCCACUGCUCCAGCACCCUGGGGAGCAAGGGUAUAACUGGCUGCUGCCUCCCGGCACAGGUAAAGGCCCCAGGAGGGGAGAUUCCCACCCACCCUGCUCUUGCCAGUGCCAGCAUCCAGGAACAGGGAGAACUUACCAGAGCUCAAAUAACAACCCUGCAAUGAAUCCUUCCUGCUUCCUCUAUUUGGCAUCAUCACAGCAGUGAUUGGUAUGAACAUUUCUGAAGGUUAGGAGCAGUGCCAUACUUCCCAUCACCUUCCCUGGGAGCACCUCCUACCUCAGUACCCCACUCUCCCAGUCCAUCCCCUUGGCUGCAAAGGCAGCCCACUGUUCCCACUACCCGCACUACCCUAGGCUGUCACCUCCGGAAUCUUCCUUCCCUCGGCACUCCCACCCUGUGGAGAGCCCAUGGGAUGGUUGGGAGCUGCCUACAGCCCAGCGCCACACCUGGGCACUGCCAGGUCCCAGGGGUGGCAGUCUGUGAUGUGUCAUGUGGGUGCUCACCCCUGAGGAAAGAGCUUCAUUGAACUGCUACACUUAGAGAGAAGCAGGUUAAACAAUCUAUUUCUCAUCCCCUCCCGGCACUCCAGCAUUAUUAAAAGGUGCUGAUGUCUCCAGAUUGAUACCCAGGAGCAGAGGAUUUGCAAGGGAGGCCACCGGUAAUUGCACGCAGACAGGCUGGUUGCUCCUUCACAUGGCUGAGUGAGGUGUUCUGUGUAUCAGCUGUCACCUCUGGGCUGAACUUCACCCCUGUGCACACUUCAAGGAUCUCUUAUCCCUGAGAGGACACACAGCACGUGGGGUCCAAGCCAGUUUCCGACUCGCCUUCCCAGAGCUCUCCCUGUGUGGACACAGGAGUGCAGGGCUGACUUGCAGACACCCCACUCCAGUGUCUGUAUUGCCUAAAACCAGCUUUUCUUCCCCACUGUCCCUACAGGCAGUUUAAUGUGUUUUUAGAUUUAAUGCCAUCACUUUUCACCCUGUGCACUCUGCUUUUCUCUGCACAUCCCUGUAUACCCCCUAUUGUAUCUCCCUGUGCCGUGUGUUUUUUACAGGGACUGUAAGCCAGGGCUUCGCUAAGGUCUGGCCUAGGGCAAGUUUAGGUGCCUCCUGGGAGGUCAGACUUGCUGUAAGGACUUGAAGGCCCAGAUUCAGCUGACCAAGUUACACCUAAAUCUCAAGGCUUCAUUCCCAAGGACUGCUAUGAAGAGGUGGAAGCCACUGGAGCAGCUUUCAGACAUGGCCAGUGGGGCAAUUCCCUGAUACAGAUACUGGCUCCUUAAAAAGGUUGUGUCUGCCCCUGGUAAUAAGGCGUUCCCUGGGGCUCUCGUGAUCAUCACCAAGGCAAUGCCCUGACUGAGAGGCUGGGGGAUAUCCUGCUCCAAGGUUCAGCCCAGCUGCCGACAGCUCCCUGUUGUAGCAAGAUUGGAUGCAGUGGGAAAUCCCUGCACAUCACCCCCAGCAUCACAUAUACAAGAGAUGGUGAGGUCACCACAGCAAUAGAAAGAGUCUUUCAAAGUCCUCUGUGCCAUCUCGUGGAAAAUCUUAGAUCCACAUCACACCUCAGCUGAAACCCACAGAUUUGCUGCCUGUGGCCCCAGGAGCCUGGGCAAUCCUCUGCACUGCUGAAACAGGCAACAUCCAGGUGUCAAGAAUGCAGCCAGUUCCAAUGUUUUCAUAUCACUUGGCAAAUGCUACAGCCAUGGUUUUUAUUUUUCUAUGGAUGCAUUUUAGGUUUUACUGUUAAAAAAAUUAAAUAUUUAGCUUAAUAAAUGACACCCAAACAAUCUUUUACCUAUGUUUGUACUCAGUGAAAACUAAACCAUUUUCAUAAACAAGCUUGUCGGCAAGUUGUGGGAAAAGGUUAAAAUUAAGCUGUGAAUGCAAACUUUUUCUUCAUGUGAGCAUCUGUAAUGCCUUCAAAAUAGAAGGAAAUUAAAAAACAAUCAACUCAGUAAAAUCA